GUGAAUCAUCGAAUCUUUGAACGCACAUUGCACUCUCUGGUAUUCCGGAGAGUAUGCCUGUUUGAGGGUCAGUUUAAAUAAAAAUCGGUGUGGUGACUGCCUUUCGUGGUGACGCACCGGAUUUGGGUCGUCUUGCCUUCUGCUAAGUGACCUAUAGUUUGGCAUGAAUUGUUCGAACGUAGUGAACUGAUAUGACGUACGUUUACGAUAUCGAAUACUAGGUGUGGUCAUCGUCAGGCGUGGGG
rnacentral:misc_RNA from 1 species